CCAACGGCCCUCUUUAGGGCCACAUAUACUAUAUCCACUGCUCUUU
rfam:Caenorhabditis japonica strain DF5081 Contig18199.100, whole genome shotgun sequence.